rnacentral:misc_RNA from 1 species
UUGUGUAGGUUGUGUAGGCAGUCGGUUCUCAUAAGUGUAUAUCAGUUCAACCCGUUCACAUCUAUUGUUAACGACAAAAUUUAUUUUAGUUAUCAACAAAAUUCCCAAACCAAACCCUUCGAGAUGCCUUUUAAGUGCAUAAUCGAGUGCGUCCAUAAGAUAGCACACAACCUAAUCGUAGCCCGUCCUGCGGUGACGAUUACACGCGGAGGCUGCCGUGUUCCCGCCAAGGAUGGCACCAUAACCAAUAUAAUCUUCUUCACCGCAAUCUUCUGGCCUCUGUACGUGUGCCUCUUGAAGGAUGUCAUCAUCCUGCUGAAGGACAUGGUCAAGAGGAUCACGCGCGAAUAGUUGAAGCGACGUUUAUAGAGUGAUCAUAGCUCAUAAGUCAAACACAAGUCCAUAUAACACAUUCGAAAACACGGCUCGUUCUAUCGACCAACUACCACUCAACAUGUUUCGUGCUCAUGCUCGUGCACCACCGCCUGGUCCAGUUAGGAAUUUCAGCAUCUCAGUUUUGUCCACAUUUUUGGGGCGUUGCUGUGGAAUUCCUCUGGCUUCCAAAAAACGAGCUAUUAUACUAUACUGACAAAAUAUUCGUACAAAUGUAAACCAAAACACCAUAUUUGCAAAUAAACUGCUGGCAUCGUCUGAGUUGUGGUUUUAAUCUGGUACUCCUCUUGCCUAUGAUUGUCUUGUAGAACUUCCUGGCAUUCGAGGACAGAAAAGGCAAUAUUUGUAAUUCCCCAUUGACACAUUGACCCAGUGACUAGUUACUCUGACUACUAGCUGUCAACUUAGUUGAAUUUAUAUCACAAAGCACUGUAUAAAACCA